ACGUAGGGUGCGAGCGUUAAUCGGAAUUACUGGGCGUAAAGCGUGCGCAGGUGGUUCGCUAAGACAGGUGUGAAAUCCCCGGGCUUAACCGGGCGAGGACAAUGAAGACUGGUCAGCUAGAGGACGGUAGAGGGGUGUGGAAUUCCGGGUGUAGUGGUGAAAUGCGUAGAGAUCCGGAGGAACACCAGAGGCGAAGGCGACACCCUGGGCCGUACCUGACGCUAAGACGCGACAGCACGGGGAGCGAACGG
rnacentral:rRNA from 1 species